rnacentral:rRNA from 1 species
UAGGGAAUCUUCCACAAUGGACGAAAGUCUGAUGGAGCAACGCCGCGUGAGUGAAGAAGGGUUUCGGCUCGUAAAACUCUGUUGUUAAAGAAGAACAUAUCUGAGAGUAACUGUUCAGGUAUUGACGGUAUUUAACCAGAAAGCCGCGGCUAACUACGUGCCGG